UAUUUAGUUUAAUUAUGGCUUUAAAAAGCACAACUUAGGAGUCACAUAGUAAAAUUUAUUUUUUUUUUAAUUGGAUUAAACAAUUCCGUUAAAUUCUAGGGAUUAGUAUUUUUUUAGGGGUUUAUCAGGCUAAAGUCUAAGUUAUUAUAGGGGAAAAUUCACAGGGCCAGCAUCCGCGGUUAUUCUGUUAACUAUUGUUUUUUUGACAUAUUUAAUAUUAUUUUUUUUGUUUUAUUAAAAUUUAAAAUUGUUACAUAAAACUUAUAAUUUUAAAUAAUUUUAUUAAUAAGUCUGUAUAUAAAACAGGAAUUUGAUACUCCUUUAUUUCAAAUAAUAUUAGAAAUUUAGUUUAAACUAAAAUAAUUUGGCAGUUAGCUACUCUUUACUGGGGAUGGGGUUCUAUAAAAAAUGAUCCGCUUUAAAUUUAACCCUAUUUAAUUAGUUGGGGUAUGCCCGGUUUUUUAUUAGAAAUGAUAGUUUAUUUUUUACUAAGUGUAUAUUUAUAUAUUUAUGUCAAUAUAUUAUUUUUUAAGUUAGGUCAACCAUGCUACUUAUAUUAUGGGUCCAGAAAUUCCAUACUUUUAAAAUAUUAAUUUUGAAAAAUUAAAAUUCAGGACUAGUGAGUAAAAUAAUUAAAAAUGAUUAUUUGAAAUUAGUUUAGCUUUUGUACAUACCGCCCGUCAUCCUCGGUGUUAAUUGAGGUAAGUCGUAACAUGGUAGCUCUACAUGAAUGUGGAGCUAGAAAGUUUAUU
rnacentral:ncRNA from 1 species